rnacentral:rRNA from 1 species
AUACAUGCAGUAGAACGCUGAAGAGAGGAGCUUGCUCUUCUUGGAUGAGUUGCGAACGGGUGAGUAACGCGUAGGUAACCUGCCUUGUAGCGGGGGAUAACUAUUGGAAACGAUAGCUAAUACCGCAUAACAAUGGAUGACACAUGUCAUUUAUUUGAAAGGGGCAAUUGCUCCACUACAAGAUGGACCUGCGUUGUAUUAGCUAGUAGGUGAGGUAAUGGCUCACCUAGGCGACGAUACAUAGCCGACCUGAGAGGGUGAUCGGCCACACUGGGACUGAGACACGGCCCAGACUCCUACGGGAGGCAGCAGUAGGGAAUCUUCGGCAAUGGGGGCAACCCUGACCGAGCAACGCCGCGUGAGUGAAGAAGGUUUUCGGAUCGUAAAGCUCUGUUGUAAGUCAAGAACGGGUGUGAGAGUGGAAAGUUCACACUGUGACGGUAGCUUACCAGAAAGGGACGGCUAACUACGUGCCAGCAGCCGCGGUAAUACGUAGGUCCCGAGCGUUGUCCGGAUUUAUUGGGCGUAAAGCGAGCGCAGGCGGUUUGAUAAGUCUGAAGUUAAAGGCUGUGGCUCAACCAUAGUUCGCUUUGGAAACUGUCAAACUUGAGUGCAGAAGGGGAGAGUGGAAUUCCAUGUGUAGCGGUGAAAUGCGUAGAUAUAUGGAGGAACACCGGUGGCGAAAGCGGCUCUCUGGUCUGUAACUGACGCUGAGGCUCGAAAGCGUGGGGAGCGAACAGGAUUAGAUACCCUGGUAGUCCACGCCGUACACGAUGAGUGCUAGGUGUUGGAUCCUUUCCGGGAUUCAGUGCCGCAGCUAACGCAUUAAGCACUCCGCCGGGGGAGUACGACCGCAAGGUUGAAACUCAAAGGAAUUGACGGGGGCCCGCACAAGCGGUGGAGCAUGUGGUUUAAUUCGAAGCAACGCGAAGAACCUUACCAGGUCUUGACAUCCCGAUGCUAUUUCUAGAGAUAGAAAGUUACUUCGGUACAUCGGUGACAGGUGGUGCAUGGUUGUCGUCAGCUCGUGUCGUGAGAUGUUGGGUUAAGUCCCGCAACGAGCGCACCCCUAUUGUUAGUUGCCAUCAUUCAUUGGGCACUCUAGCGAGACUGCCGGUAUAAACCGAAGAAAGGUGGGGAUGACGUCAAUCAUAGGCCCCUUAUGACCGGGCUACCACGUGCUACAUGGUGG